rnacentral:lncRNA from 13 species
GUGGAGAUUAUAACAGAACAUGGCCAAGAUGUUCAAAUGUUCAUAAAUUACCCGCAUGGUCAAAUAAUAAUCACAGUCGAUGUCAAGGGUGCAACAGGUCAGCACCUCAGGAGUAAAUGUCAGUUGGCUUUUCAUAGCCGAUCAUAGAUCCACUUGUAUAGCUGGCAGAUGACGGAGAUCACCACAGAACAUACUGGAAAUAUAAUCCUGUUCAGCUCUCCUCUCUCUGAUUUGCCAUUUAGUACAUUAUAUCUCAUUGCUUCUCGCUACAUUACCGUGGACAUCAUAUUGUCUUCUCUACAUUACCAUGGACAUUAUAUUGUCUAUUCUCUCUACAUUACCAUGGACAUUGUCUAUUCUCUCUACAUUACCAUGGACAUUAUAUUGUCUUCUCUACAUUACCAUGGACAUUAUAUUGUCUUCUCUACAUUACCAUGGACAUUAUAUUGUCUUCUCUACAUUACCAUGGACAUUAUAUUGUCUAUUCUCUCUACAUUACCAUGGACAUUGUCUAUUCUCUCUACAUUACCAUGGACAUUAUAUUGUCUUCUCUACAUUACCAUGGACAUUAUAUUGUCUUCUCUACAUUACCAUGGACAUUGUCUAUUCUCUCUACAUUACCAUGGACAUUGUCUAUUCUCUCUACAUUACCAUGGACAUUAUAUUGUCUUCUCUACAUUACCGUGGACAUUAUAUUGUCUUCUCUACAUUACCGUGGACAUUAUAUUGUCUAUUCUCUACAUUACCGUGGACAUUAUAUUGUCUUCUCUACAUUACCAUGGACAUUAUNNNNNNNNNNNNNNNNNNNNNNNNNNNNNNNNNNNNNNNNNNNNNNNNNNNNNNNNNNNNNNNNNNNNNNNNNNNNNNNNNNNNNNNNNNNNNNNNNNNNUGACCUUCUGCCUGUCCCUGGACCCAGUUACCUGUCCCUGGACCCAGUUACCUGUCCCUGGACCCAGUUACCUGUCCCUGGACCCAGCUACCUGUCCCUGGACCCAGCUACCUGUCCCUGGACCCAGCUACCUGUCCCUGGACCCAGUUACCUGCCCCUGGACCCAGCUACCUGCCUCCUCCUGUGUAUGACCUUCUGCCUGCCCAGCCCAUCCCACGUACCCAUGAAAACGGACGCUGCGACAGCGAUCAAUGUUUAAUAUUUUUCAUCCUUGCGAAACAUGGAAACCACCCGAAAGUCGGCAUGAGUAUAAAUGAAAUGUAGUUUUGACCAGCGACACUUGUUGUAUUCUAAUAAUGUCUACAGACAAUAGAAGUAAAAACCAGCCAUUAUCAUAGAGUUAAACAAUGUCUUUCUUUUAUUUUUAGUUUAAAAUUGUUUUUUUUUUAAAUAUCCGAAACCUACAAUAUACUUACAGUGAAGCCGCUCAACAACUACACCACACCUACACUACACCACACCACUUAUCCAACAGACCUACACUACACCACACCACACCUACACUACACCACACCACUUAUCCAACAGACCUACACCACACCACACCUACACUACACCACACCACUUAUCCAACAGACCUACACUACACCACACCACUUAUCCAACAGACUCCCGUUCAGAGUGAUACACAGAAGCGUCCAGGGUCAACGCCUUGCUCAAGGGCACGUCGGCAGAUCUCCCACAAAGAAAAAAAUCCAAGAAAAAAAUAAUUAACAAUGUGUCUUUGUUCCAGAGAGACAGUAUUCUGUGAUCUGAUUGGUUUAGUUUAAAAUGAUGCUCUUUUGGGGUUUCCAUGUAUCGGAUUGGGAGAUGAAGAAUGUUUUAUGAUGAUGGUGACAGCGUGGUUAUAUGCAUAGUGGAUCGUCAGGUUUAAUAUAAUAGUUUAAUUAAAACGUUUAUACGCGUUGCAAGAAUGAUUUCCCCCAAUAAUCCUGUUUACAUGGGACACAUCUGAAAUCAGGCUUUUAAAUACAUGUCCAAAAUCAACAUUAUUUUUAUUUGUUUGUUUGUUUGUUUGUUUGCGAAGACUUAUUUGAUUCUGAGUUCGGACAUGUAAAAGUUUGGUAUGUGAAAACUAUUUCUAAGGUCAGUUUUUUUUAACGAACUCACUUCACUCGAGCGAAAGAGGGAAGCUUCCGGCACAUGCAGAGAUCAACCACUGGAACGCAGAUUAAUGUGUUUACAGGUCCUAAUAAUUCAAAACGCUUCCUCAGGUGUUUUAAUUGGCCAAUGCUUACUUCAAUUAUGACCUUAAACACAGAUUUAAGAUAAGCAGAGUAAUGUGUUUACAUGACUAAUGGCAUACUCGGCCUACUGCCAUAAUCAGUUUAAUAUCGAUUCAUUAGUGUGUAUGUAAAUGUACUCAUUGUUGAGUUUUAAAACAGAUUUGUAUAGUUUUUUUGUUAGAAAUACACAGCUGUAUAGACUAUAUGUCUGCACGUUAUAUUACUGCUAUGUGCUACAUGAAAUGAGGAGUACCAGGCUCUGGGAAUUAUAUUUACUUUAUUAGAAGCAGUUUGCUUACUUUGAUUCUCUCUCUUACGAUCCACUUAACAUCUAAUAGCAACCUGCUGACAGAGGUACAAUGCUGAAUCGUGGUGUGUGUGUGUGUGUGUGUGUGUGUGUGUGUGUGUGUGUGUGUGUGUGUGUGUGUGUGUGUGUGUGUGUNNNNNNNNNNNNNNNNNNNNNNNNNNNNNNNNNNNNNNNNNNNNNNNNNNNNNNNNNNNNNNNNNNNNNNNNNNNNNNNNNNNNNNNNNNNNNNNNNNNNAUAGGGUAAUGGGGUUAGGGUAUAGAGGUUAGGGGAUAGGGUAAUGGGGUUAGGGUAUAGGGGUUAGGGGAUAGAGGUUAGGGGAUAGGGUAAUGGGGUUAGGGUAUAGAAGUUAGGGGAUAGGGUAAUGGGGUUAGGGUAUAGAGGUUAGGGGAUAGGGUAAUGGGGUUAGGGUAUAGAGGUUAGGGGAUAGGAUAUAGGGGUUAGGGUAUAGGGGUUAGGGGAUAGGGGUUAGGGGAUAGGGUAAUGGGGUUAGGGGAUAGAGUAUAGGGGUUAGGGUAUAGGGGUUAGGGUAUAGGGGUUAGGGUACUACAGACCUGUUUGCUCCUAGAGGUACCAUGCCUCUGAUGACGAUGGUCUUCUUCGUAGACAUCCCUCCUGGAAUCACGAUGGUGUACGGGACAGGCUGAUACACAUAGGACAGGAGUCAGUUCACUGACACCAUGUAGUGUAUACUGUAUGUACGUAUACUUAGGACAAAACAAAUCCAUCCUGACUCACAGAGAUGUUACUUACAGGGUUGUAUAUUGGCUGUCCAUCCAUGACCGGUAGGUUUCCCUGUGAACAGGGGAGUGUCAGAGAACGGCCAUCAGUAGCCUCUUUUGAAGUCAGACCUGCACCCUGAUCACCUGGGGAUCCACCCUGAUCACCUGGGGAUCCACCCUGAUCACUAGGGGAUCCACCCUGAUCAGACCUACACCCAUGUCACCUGAGGAUCCACCCUGAUCACCUGGGGAUCCACCCUGAUCACCUGGGGAUCCACCCUGAUCAGACCUACACCCAUGUCCCCUGGGGAUCCACCCUUGUCCCCUGGGGAUCCACCCUGAUCACCUGGGGAUCCACCCUGAUCACCUGGGGAUCCACCCUGAUCAGACCUACACCCAUGUCCCCUGGGGAUCCACCCUGAUCACCUGGGGAUCCACCCUGAUCACCUGGGGAUCCACCCUGAUCACCUGGGGAUCCACCCUGAUACGACAAGAUAUCACUGUCUAAUGUCGAAAUCUGAAGUGGUACGGACAAACGUCUAUUUUUUUUAUUUAAUUCAUUUCAAAGUGGUUAAGGUUUAGGGCUAGGGUUAAACAUAAACAACAACAUUACUAUGAAGUAAGGUAGUGGCUUGCUCUGGAGUUGUUGUCAGCGCCAAGUGGAGCUGUGAGCUAAAGUUCAGAGGGUUGUGGGUUCAAUCCCAAUGUGAGGUAGUCUUUUUGUUUUUGUGAGCACCGAAUCAGGCAAAUAUCUAACAUCGCUGUCUAAAUGUACGGAUCCCCCUGCCUACCUGCCUCCUCUACACUCUAACCACUAGGCUACCUGCCACCUCUACACUCUAACCACUAGGCUACCUGCAGCCUCUACACUCUAACCACUAGGCUACCCUGCCACCUCUACGCUCUAACCACUAGGCUACCCUGCCGCCUCUACACUCUAACCACUAGGCUACCCUGCAGCCUCCACACUCUAACCAAUUGGCUACCUGCCACCUCUACACUCUAACCACUAGGCUACCCUGCCGCCUCUANNNNNNNNNNGAUAGGGUAAUGGGGUUAGGGUAUAGAGGUUAGGGGAUAGGGUAAUGGGGUUAGGGUAUAGGGGUUAGGGGAUAGAGGUUAGGGGAUAGGGUAAUGGGGUUAGGGUAUAGAAGUUAGGGGAUAGGGUAAUGGGGUUAGGGUAUAGAGGUUAGGGGAUAGGGUAAUGGGGUUAGGGUAUAGAGGUUAGGGGAUAGGAUAUAGGGGUUAGGGUAUAGGGGUUAGGGGAUAGGGGUUAGGGGAUAGGGUAAUGGGGUUAGGGGAUAGAGUAUAGGGGUUAGGGUAUAGGGGUUAGGGUAUAGGGGUUAGGGUACUACAGACCUGUUUGCUCCUAGAGGUACCAUG